rnacentral:lncRNA from 1 species
GUGAGAGGGAAGGGUAGCUCUGGCCUUGCUCAAGGAGGUAGAAGGUGAGGGGAACGGCCAGGCCCUGGAGCUCCCGUGGAGGCAUGAUGUGGCAUUGCCAUCUGACCAGAGAGCAGGGGCGCCGCCAUGGUUCCCUCCCACCUCUCAUUGCCUUCCUCUAUUGUUGCCUCUUUCUCUUCUCUCUAAAGCCCUUCCUGUAUUUUCCAUGCAGGGGAAUACAGGUGUGAUGCAGGGGGUCAGACACAGGACUGCACCCUGGGCCGCCUCUGAUGGAAACUCCAAGAUUCUAUGACUUCCCUGAGAGCUCCUCUGCCAGGAAAUGCCAGCUUCAGCUUAGCGCAAGGAGGAGCCUGACCCUGCAGGUGAGUCUGUCACGUGCAUGGACGUUGCAGGGGGUGCUCCUGAGGCCAGGGCUGUGCACUUCCCAGGCGGGUGCGUGAUUUGACUUUCUCUGCUCAUUGAGCCAGGCCUGGCUCUGGUGGAAACUGCUGGCGUCAUGAAGGGCCUACUCACUUCAUCACAGGCCGGGCCAGGCCAACUCUGGCAUUGUAGCUGCCUGCUGGAGCGAUCCUUCAAUCCGCAUGGAAGCCUGAAAGCCUCUCCUUAGAGACAUUAAUUAGCCCCCAAUUAAUGCUGGGCAGAAGCUCACCCGGAUAGAGAGCAGGAUUUGCUCCAGCUCUGGAGGCUGCCACCCAUUUAUCUGCAAAUUGCCCAGCAAACCAGGAAGAGGCAGUAAAACAGCUCAAUGUGGAAAUUACAGGGCCUUGGGAGGUUUGCUGAUUUCUUUGGCCUGUAUUAAGGACUGUCCCAAAUCCCGGAGUCCCCAGCUGUGUCUCUGGCUCUCUCCCACUCCCCACCGUGGCCUAAUUGCAGUGCCCAGAGAACUCUGUCAAGAGCAUGUUGGCUGUGAUCUACAGCUCUGGAAAGCUCAGGAGGGUGCCUCAUCAACGGAGAUGCCAAGGUUCCCUACGACGUCUCCUCAGUGGGCUGUGCAGGGGUUUCUGAGAUAACUCACUUUGUGGAAGGCAUUCUGGAGGAGGCGAUGACCAGCAAACUACACUCCCGUGUUUCCAGAGCUGUUAAAUCAGCCAGUGAGGAGACGGCCAUGAAUACAAAUUGCUCUAUUGCACGAAAGCAUGUGGUUAAAUGGUACCAAAGAAAGAAAAAUCAGAAUCAGGAGGAGGAAUUUAGGAGAGCUUGAUGAGAUCCAAACGAAGACGAAAAUCAAGGCAGAAUCUGUGAGUGGCUGAAGACAGAAAAGGAAGGCCAUGUAGCCCACACGCAGUCCCACUGAACGUUGGAAAAGGGAAGUGGGAGGGGGGAAGCCACUGCAUCCAGGCACCUAGAGACCGGUUGGUCCAGGAUGGGCCAAGAGUGGCUGUGGGGAGAGGAGGCUGCGGGCAACCACGGUCGUUCAACCAUGUGGUUGUGGUGAAUGCCUGCAAGGCUGCGCUUCGGAACUGGGAGGAGCUGGCUAUCAGCUAGGAAGUGGCAAAACCAGAAUUUGGGCUCCAGAAGUGUAAAGUGUAACUCUGGUGCUUGGCCUCAACCACAAUGUCACAUUGCCUGUCUUACUGAAAGGAAACUGAGGCUCAGAUGGGCUGAGUGAGCUGCCCAAGGUCACAGAGCUGGAAGUAGCAGGGCUGAGAUUUCAAUACAGGUCUCCUGGUGCCAAAGCUGAAGCAGAUCCCACCCGUCUUGCCUCUCACAGCUAAGGCGGACACAAGGACACAGCUGGUCCUGCUUUCAUCCUUCCAGGACUCUGCCUGCCUGGGGAGGGGUCGAGGUAGAGAGGGAGGGCUGGGCUGAGGCUAUUCUUUCAGCUGCAGUCAUGUGGUUGGGGAGAGGUUGGGAGUCGUGCUGAGUCCUUCUCAACAUGUCUGUCUAAAAAGAGACUUGGAGCUCACCUAAGUUCUCCUUUUGGGGUGCUUGUCAUUUGUCCUGGCAGGAAAUGGCUUGACUAGACACCUCCUCAGCAUCUAAAAAGGCUACCAGCUGUGUACAAGGAGAGAGCACUAGGCUAUGUUCGCCCAAGGAGAGGAGGGGAAGGGCAAAGCCUUUCAACUCACCCCCUUUGCAUGUGCCUUUCUGCCUCACGAUUUGCUUUAAGAGCGCUCAUUAUUUUACUUGAGGCAGUAACACAGCCUGAAUCCUUACUGGAACCAGCAUUCAAUCAUGGCUCAAAGUCCAAAUUUAUCUCUGAGCUGGCGAGACUCCU